CGGGGGAGGCCGGAUCCUGGGCUGUGUCCCUGCGCCCUGUGCUCCGGGGCCUGCGCUGGUGGAUUCGCGCUCCCGGGCCGCCGCCAUACAACCCCCU
rfam:Canis lupus familiaris chromosome 34, whole genome shotgun sequence.